rnacentral:rRNA from 1 species
CCUACGGGAGGCAGCAGUGAGGAAUAUUGGUCAAUGGGCGCAAGCCUGAACCAGCCAUGCCGCGUGCAGGAUGACGGUCCUAUGGAUUGUAAACUGCUUUUGUACAGGAAGAAACACUCCCUCGUGAGGGAGCUUGACGGUACUGUAAGAAUAAGGAUCGGCUAACUCCGUGCCAGCAGCCGCGGUAAUACGGAGGAUCCAAGCGUUAUCCGGAAUCAUUGGGUUUAAAGGGUCCGUAGGCGGGUUUAUAAGUCAGUGGUGAAAGCCCAUCGCUCAACGAUGGAACGGCCAUUGAUACUGUAGAUCUUGAAUUAUUAGGAAGUAACUAGAAUAUGUAGUGUAGCGGUGAAAUGCUUAGAGAUUACAUGGAAUACCGAUUGCGAAGGCAGGUUACUACUAAUGGAUUGACGCUGAUGGACGAAAGCGUGGGUAGCGAACAGGAUUAGAUACCCUGGUAGUCCACGCCGUAAACGAUGGAUACUAGCUGUUCGGAGCAAUCUGAGUGGCUAAGCGAAAGUGAUAAGUAUCCCACCUGGGGAGUACGUUCACAAGAAUGAAACUCAAAGGAAUUGACGG